UACGUGAGGGGCGAGCGUUGUCCGGAUUUAUUGGGCGUAAAGAGCGUGUAGGCGGCCAGGUAGGUCUGCUGUGAAAACUCGAGGCUCAACCUCGAGACGUCGGCGGAAACCAUCUGGCUAGAGUCCGGAAGAGGAGAGUGGAAUUCCUGGUGUAGCGGUGAAAUGCGCAGAUAUCAGGAAGAACACCCGUGGCGAAGGCGGCUCUCUGGGACGGUACUGACGCUGAGACGCGAA
rnacentral:rRNA from 1 species